rnacentral:rRNA from 1 species
AUUGAACGCUGGCGGCAUGCCUUACACAUGCAAGUCGAACGGCAGCACGGGAGCAAUCCUGGUGGCGAGUGGCGAACGGGUGAGUAAAGUAUCGGAACGUACCUUUCAGUGGGGGAUAACGUAGCGAAAGUUACGCUAAUACCGCAUAUUCUGUGAGCAGGAAAGCAGGGGAUCGCAAGACCUUGCGCUGAUUGAGCGGCCGAUAUCAGAUUAGCUAGUUGGUGGGGUAAAGGCCUACCAAGGCGACGAUCUGUAGCGGGUCUGAGAGGAUGAUCCGCCACACUGGAACUGAGACACGGUCCAGACUCCUACGGGAGGCAGCAGUGGGGAAUUUUGGACAAUGGGGGGCAACCCUGAUCCAGCCAUGCCGCGUGAGUGAAGAAGGCCUGGUGUAAG